rnacentral:rRNA from 1 species
UCAGGAUGAACGCUGGCGGCGUGCUUAAUACAUAGCAAGUCGAACGAAGUUAUCUCGCUGAGGAGAGCUUGCUCAAUUCGUUGAGAUAACUUAGUGGCGGACGGGUGAGUAACGCGUGGGUAACCUGCCUUACGACAGGGGGAUAACAGUUAGAAAUGACUGCUAAUACCGCAUAAGCGCACAGUUUUGCAUGAAACAGUGUGAAAAGAUUUAUCGGUGUAAGAUGGACCCGCGUCUGAUUAGCUAGUUGGUGAGGUAACGGCCCACCAAGGCGACGAUCAGUAGCCGGCCUGAGAGGGUGAACGGCCACAUUGGGACUGAGACACGGCCCAAACUCCUACGGGAGGCAGCAGUAGGGAAUAUUGGACAAUGGGGGAAACCCUGAUCCAAGCGACGCCGCGUGAGUGAAGAAGUAUUUCGGUACGUAAAGCUCUAUCAGCAGGGAAGAAAAUGACGGUACCUGACUAAGAAGCACCGGCUAAAUACGUGCCAGCAGCAGC